GUCAAUUUGUGAGCAACAUUUUGUGUUAAUUUCAGCAAAAUCCAUUUCAAAGUAAGCCGCCUGGUCAGCAAGUGUCGCCGUCCAAAUCGUCGCUCGUUUGCUCGUAAACAUUGCGCCAAGUCAGCAGUCAUAACUCAUACGCCGCGUUGGCUGCCCACGAUUGCGAAUCGCUGAGCUAAACUCAGGGCAUCGAGCGCAUUUUGAUUGUCAGCCUGAGUUGAGGUUCUGCCCGGCAAACAAGCAAAUGACAAAUAAAUUUCAAGGAAACGCAUUUAACUGGGAAGCAACGAUGGCAAUGUGCUACAAUGGUUACAAAGCGAGAAGCUACACAAUCCAAGGCAAACACUUUCACGAAAUUGCCCAAUUAUAUUAACAAUAAACUCGGCUCUCCCGCCUCAUCCCUGGCCAACACCCACGCAGCAGAGCCCCCAUUCCAUUCCCCAUCACAGCCACAUCCUCCCGAUCCCCAUCACAUGUGUCCGUGUCCACAAUUUAUAUUUAGCCAGCCCACGUUGGAUCAGAACAGGAAGCCUGGCCAAGAAACUGGGAACUGGUAACUGGUAACUGGAAACUGGGAACCAUGGAGACGAUGAGAGCGCUGCGAUAAGGAGCAAACUCGAGGGCGUCGCUAGCGCUUUGCGACUCUGGCUAUAAAGCCAUCAUAUUGAGCCAGACGAUCCGAGCUCGAGCCCGGGAACCCCAAACCCCUCCACCCGCCGAACACGAGAUCCGUACUUAGUCAAAACAAUAAACGUGGAAGGUUGCGAACGUAAA